GACGAACGCUGGCGGCGUGCCUAAUACAUGCAAGUCGAACGAAACUUUCUUACACCGAAUGCUUGCAUUCACCGUAAGAAGUUGAGUGGCGGACGGGUGAGUAACACGUGGGUAACCUGCCUAAAAGAAGGGGAUAACACUUGGAAACAGGUGCUAAUACCGUAUAUCUCUAAGGAUCGCAUGAUCCUUAGAUGAAAGAUGGUUCUGCUAUCGCUUUUAGAUGGACCCGCGGCGUAUUAACUAGUUGGUGGGGUAACGGCCUACCAAGGUGAUGAUACGUAGCCGAACUGAGAGGUUGAUCGGCCACAUUGGGACUGAGACACGGCCCAAACUCCUACGGGAGGCUG
rnacentral:rRNA from 1 species